UGAUCUCAUAAUAAACCGAAAGAAUCUCAUGCCAUCUUUCAACUCUAAAUUACAGGAUUAUUGCUUGAAAAUUCAAUGAAUUUCAAAAAAAAAAUUAUUGAGGUGUGGAAAAUAUACUGACAUCUCAAUAAAUAACAUUAUUAUGAUAAAUUGUUAAUGAUGCAUGAUCCUUUAUACAAUAUAGUUGAAAACAUGUGGAGAAGAUUGAGUGCAUAUCAAGCAUACUUGGUGUGUGGAGAGGAUUCAAACAUUAAAUUGAACAAAAUUAAGAUAGGAUUAAAGCCUUCGGAAACCCAAGAAGCACUUCCACGACUUCACAUUUACAUGUAACUUGAUGCCGUGGAAGCCUUUGAGGGUUACUGAAUGCUUAGUCCUUUUAAUUU
rnacentral:lncRNA from 1 species